GACGAACGCUGGCGGCGUGCCUAAUACAUGCAAGUAGAACGUGAAGGAGGAGCUUGCUUCUCUGGAUGAGUUGCGAACGGGUGAGUAACGCGUAGGUAACCUGCCUGGUAGCGGGGGAUAACUAUUGGAAACGAUAGCUAAUACCGCAUAAUAGUAGAUGUUGCAUGACAUUUACUUGAAGGUGCAAUUGCAUCACUACCAGAUGGACCUGCGUUGUAUUAGCUAGUUGGUGGGGUAACGGCUCACCAAGGCGACGAUACAUAGCCGACCUGAGAGGGUGAUCGGCCACACUGGCACUGAGACACGGCCCAGACUCCUACGGGAGGCAGCAGUAGGGAAUCUUCGGCAAUGGACGGAAGUCUGACCGAGCAACGCCGCGUGAGUGAAGAAGGUUUUCGGAUCGUAAAGCUCUGUUGUAAGAGAAGAACGAGUGUGAGAGUGGAAAGUUCAC
rnacentral:rRNA from 1 species